rnacentral:rRNA from 1 species
CCUUAGAGUUUGAUCCUGGCUCAGGACGGACGCUGGCGGCGCGCCUAACACAUGCAAGUCGAACGAGCGAGAGAGAGCUUGCUUUCUCGAGCGAGUGGCGAACGGGUGAGUAACGCGUGAGGAACCUGCCUCAAAGAGGGGGACAACAGUUGGAAACGACUGCUAAUACCGCAUAAGCCCACGACCCGGCAUCGGGUAGAGGGAAAAGGAGCAAUCCGCUUUGAGAUGGCCUCGCGUCCGAUUAGCUAGUUGGUGAGGUAAUGGCCCACCAAGGCGACGAUCGGUAGCCGGACUGAGAGGUUGAACGGCCACAUUGGGACUGAGACACGGCCCAGACUCCUACGGGAGGCAGCAGUGGGGAAUAUUGCACAAUGGGGGAAACCCUGAUGCAGCGACGCCGCGUGGAGGAAGAAGGUCUACGGAUUGUAAACUCCUGUUGUUGAGGAAGAUAAUGACGGUACUCAACAAGGAAGUGACGGCUAACUACGUGCCAGCAGCCGCGGUAAAACGUAGGUCACAAGCGUUGUCCGGAAUUACUGGGUGUAAAGGGAGCGCAGGCGGGAAGACAAGUUGGAAGUGAAAUCCAUGGGCUCAACCCAUGAACUGCUUUCAAAACUGUUUUUCUUGAGUAGUGCAGAGGUAGGCGGAAUUCCCGGUGUAGCGGUGGAAUGCGUAGAUAUCGGGAGGAACACCAGUGGCGAAGGCGGCCUACUGGGCACCAACUGACGCUGAGGCUCGAAAGUGUGGGUAGCAAACAGGAUUAGAUACCCUGGUAGCCCACACUGUAAACGAUGAUUACUAGGUGUUGGAGGAUUGACCCCUUCAGUGCCGCAGUUAACACAAUAAGUAAUCCACCUGGGGAGUACGACCGCA